GGUCCAAACUCCUACGGGAGGCAGCAGUGAGGAAUAUUGGUCAAUGGGCGCUAGCCUGAACCAGCCGAGUAGCGUGAAGGAUGACUGCCCUAUGGGUUGUAAACUUCUUUUAUAUGGGAAUAAAGUGCAGUAUGUAUACUGCUUUGCAUGUACCUUAUGAAUAAGGAUCGGCUAACUCCGUGCCAGCAGCCGCGGUAAUACGGAGGAUCCGAGCGUUAUCCGGAUUUAUUGGGUUUAAAGGGAGCGUAGGCGGGUUGUUAAGUCAGUUGUGAAAGUUUGCGGCUCAACCGUAAAAUUGCAGUUGAUACUGGCAUCCUUGAGUACAGUAGAGGUAGGCGGAAUUCGUGGUGUAGCGGUGAAAUGCUUAGAUAUCACGAAGAACUCCGAUUGCGAAGGCAGCCUGCUGGACUGUAACUGACGCUGAUGCUCGAAAGUGUGGGUAUCAAACAGGAUUAGAUACCCUGGUAGUCCACACAGUAAACGAUGAAUACUCGCUGUUUGCGAUAUACAGUAA
rnacentral:rRNA from 1 species